AUAAAAUCUCUUUUAGUGGCAGAUACACAUGGCUUUCCCGUGUUUCAAUUUAUGGAUGACCUUGCUUUUUAUGAGUCCUUCGCAUACCAGCUGGAACUACAGAUGGUGCUAAUAUUAGGUUGAACCAAACCCUGCCAUGGGACCUCACUAGUGUUGAGAAUCUGAGAUGUGAAACAGGUGGACAAUAUUAGAUAAUAAAAAAUAAAUAUAUAAAAUGCAAGUUGCAUCAUUGCAGGGUGUUGGGAAAUUGGACAGCAAAUAGAUUUGGUUUGUAACAAGCCAUUGAGCUAAGAGAACUGAAGAUUGUGAUUAGGGGGUAUCAAACAAUAAUUUCUGGUCAGACGAUGAGGCUUGUUACUGUAUAUUGUAGCAGAUUCAUGCUACUUCAUUUAUUGAAGUAGUAAAAUUCUCUUGCUCCAGCAAAAAGAAGAGAAAAAUAAACAACAAAGCUCUUUUCUGAAUCUUCUACAUGAUAUGUACAUUAUAGCUUUCACGUUUUUCUAAUCUACGUCAACAUUUUAAGUCCUCAUGAGAUGAUUAGUAUAUAGAUAUACAUGGCUGUAGUAGAAAAAUUGCAUUUUAUUUCAAAUAAAAUGAUAUAUUUGGUCCAAGAGUGUCCUAACAUACUGUAACAGUUCUUAUAAUUGAUCAAUGUUAUUCUGUACAGGAACCUUUCAUCAAUAUUCCAGAUGAAGCAAUUCGUGAAGCGCUGAAAGUACUCCUUGGUAUAACUAAAUAUAUGAUGUGACUUCACAUUAUGAGUGGUUAGCUUGCCUGUUGGACAUUUGCUCAAGUAUUUGGUUCUUUCCUUGUGGUCGCAGAUGUAAG
rnacentral:lncRNA from 1 species